AGUGAACGCUGGCGGUAGGCCUAACACAUGCAAGUCGAACGGCAGCACAGUAAGUGCUUUCUCUUACGGGUGGCGAGUGUCGGACGGUUUAGUAUUCCUUCGUAUUCUCCUUUUUCUUGGGUGUUACCUUGGGUAAACUUACUCUAUUACCUCUUCCUCCCUCCUGUUUAAUUCUUUGGUUCUUCUUCCCUUUCCCGUUUGAUUUCGCCGAUGUCGGAUUUGCUAGUUGGCGGGGUAAAGGCCCACCAAGGCGACGAUCCGUAGCUGGUCUGAGAGGAUGAUCAGACAAACUGGAACUGAGACACGGAAAAGACUACUACGGGAGGAAGCAGUGGGGAAUAUUGGACAAUGGGCGAAAGCAUGAUACAGACAUACCGAGUGGGUGAAGAAGGACUUCGGGUUGUAAAGACAUUUUGUUGGGAAAGAAAAGAAGCAGGUUAAUACAACGAUGUAAUGACGGUAACAAAAGAAUAAGCACCGGCUAACUUCGUG
rnacentral:rRNA from 1 species